rnacentral:rRNA from 1 species
AACGAACGCUGGCGGCAGGCUUAACACAUGCAAGUCGAACGGGUGUAGCAAUACAUCAGUGGCAGACGGGUGAGUAACACGUGGGAACCUUCCUAGAGGUACGGAACAACUCAGGGAAACUUGAGCUAAUACCGUAUACGCUCUUGCGAGGAAAGAUUUAUCGCCUUUAGACGGGCCCGCGUCGGAUUAGCUAGUUGGUGGGGUAACGGCCUACCAAGGCGACGAUCCGUAGCUGAUCUGAGAGGAUGAUCAGCCACACUGGGACUGAGACACGGCCCAGACUCCUACGGGAGGCAGCAGUGGGGAAUCUUGGACAAUGGGCGCAAGCCUGAUCCAGCCAUGCCGCGUGAGUGAAGAAGGCCU